rnacentral:tRNA from 1 species
GUAGUGGUGGCUCAGUGAUAGAAGCCUCACCUUCCACGUGGGAGACCUGGGUUUGAUUCCCAGCCAAUGUA